rnacentral:lncRNA from 1 species
UUUAAAAUAGAAUAUUAGAUUAUUUUUUUCCUUUUUCUUAGUUUGAACUACUUGAUUAUUAUAUUUUUGUUUAAAGUUUGAUUUAUUUGAUUAUUAGAUUUUUGUGUGAAGUGUGAAUAUCUUAGGUGCAAAUAAUUCUUCUACUAAAGAGCUGGUUGGCUCUCAAUGCCAAAUGACUACUUAUUUUUUAGACAAUAAAUCAUAUAUGAUAUAUAUUGAUAACUUUGAAGAAAUUUCUUUUAAAAUCUACUUGUUAAUGAGCUAAGUAUGUAAUCCAUAAUGAAGACAAGCUACUCAAAGUGUAGUAAAUAGGUGAAAUCAGUCCAACCUUAAAGAGCCC